GGUUAAGUCCCGCAACGAGCGCAACCCUUGCCUUUAGUUGCCAUCAUUCAGUUGGGCACUCUAGAGGGACUGCCGGUGUCAAACCGGAGGAAGGUGGGGAUGACGUCAAGUCCUCAUGGCCUUUAUGCCCAGGGCUACACACGUGCUACAAUGGGCGGUACAAAGAGCAGCGAGCUCGCGAGAGUAAGCAAAUCUCAAAAAGCCGUCCUCAGUUCGGAUUGGAGUCUGCAACUCGACUCCAUGAAGUUGGAAUCGCUAGUAAUCGCGGAUCAGCAUGCCGCGGUGAAUACGUUCCCGGGCCUU
rnacentral:rRNA from 1 species